UGCUGGCGAGGCGGACGCAGAUGUUAUGGUUGUUGGGGAACGUGCGGGAGCCGAAGCAGAUGCCUCCGCCGUGAAAGUAAAAGACAAUAGGGAGUUUUGUUGAAGAAUUAACUAUGGAUGUAGGUUUGUAGAGACGAAGACGAAGAUCAAUGUUUUCGUUGAAAAUAAGGUCUUUGUAGAGGAUUGAAUUGUCGUUGAUAAAAGGAACGUCGAAAGAAAUAUUUGGGGAUCGUGAAAUGGAGCCAUCGCUAUAGAGUUUGAGGAGGCCAAAGCAUUCUUCUACUACUUGAGGAAGUGAACCCAUUUGAUCCCUCUCUCUUUUAUUAACGAAUUGUGUUAGGGUUUGUGAGUUGGCAAUAUAGUGCCUAUGAGAGUCAUAUUAUAUAGAGAAGAAUACAAGGAUUAUGCUGGAUAAAGUAUUUGGUAGUCAAUGACGGAGUUUUAGUGCAGACAUUAUGAUCAUUUAAAAUGCGAAUUUGAAAUUAGAAUAUAUUUUGUAAUUCAAAAUACGUGUGCAUAUAUAUAAUGUUUAUUGUUUAACUAGAGUUAGUCGGAGUAGUCUAGCCUCGCAACUACAACUGAGAAUUGCAUAUUAAUUAAUAUAAAUUUACGACCAAAUUUUAAGUAGCUAUAAUAGCAUUGUAGCAAUAAUCUAAUUGAUCAAUUUAGUAUAUUAGAAAUUAUACUAGUACAUUUUUCGCUAGUUACAUUAAUUUAGGUAGAGCCACAAAAAAGGGGACAAAUUCAAAUUAAUUUUUUAACACUACUCUUCAAUAUUCGAAUUCCAUGACCAGCUACCGACCAUACUCCUAAGGGCAAAGCAGCUAGUUUGAUGACCGUGUCUCGUUUCUAUCUUUCCAGAUAUUUUUUUACGGGAAAAGUUUUUCUCACGACUGGCGUUCACUAGACUCUUAUUAUAGGAUAUCGAAUCGAUGGUCACCCACUUGGUUACAAUAACAUUUUUUUAAUCAAAUAAAAAAAGUAAUAAAAUCGGAUUUUGAUUGAACAUCAGUUAUAUUGUAUAAUUUGGUCUAGAGAGGAGUUACUGUUCCCUUGCAUAAUUGCAUACGUGUUUGAAGUUUGAAUGAGAAAGCGUAGUCGUGAUGAAUAUCCAGUAAGAUUCAUGUGAUUUGAUUUAUUAAGUUAUAUAUUGUCAUAGCCGCCACCACACAAUUUCGUAUAAUUCUGAGAUUGCUUAACGUCUACAUAGUGAUUUGGAAAAAAAAAGAGUCGCUUAAUUUUAUAGUUAUCUGUAAAUAAUGUUGAUAUUAAAUAGUGCAACUCUUAUUUAUUGAAAUCAAAUAGUGUCAUAUGAUAAUAUUAUUCAUCAUAAAAUAAAUAUUGUCCCUUAGUAAAUAGAUCGUUGUUCGUCAAAAAAUUGAAAGACUCAAUAGUACAAGAACAGACUCUAGGUUCAAUAAAAGUAAUUAUUAUAACUUAAUUAUUCCUUCAUUAGGAUUUAUGUACCCCAUCGAAGCAAUUAAGAACUUUAAAUUGGAGUAAUAAUAGUAUUAUUAGGGUUCCGCUAUGUUGGAACCACUCUAAGGUAGAACAUAUAUUCAUAACAAUUUAAUUAAAGUUAUAACGUGUCUUUAUUAUUUAUCACUUUAUGUAUGUAACUGUAAUUUAUACUCUACCUUAGAGCAGCUCUAAGGUAACCAUUCCCAUAUUAUUAAUAUCUAUUGAACAAUCAAAACUAUUUCCACAUCUCUUUUAAAUAUAUAGUUCCGACAAUUCACCGUCAAAGACGAAAUCAAACAAUUAUUAUAUUGGAGCAUAAUUUUCAAUUGAAAAGGAACAAAGAGGAAAUUAAGGCAGAUGACUAUUAGUCUAUAAAGAUCAACAAGUUCCUAUUUUGUCUGUUGUAAUUUAUUUAUUUAUUUAUGUUUUUUUUAACAACCCAUUAAUAAUCUAUUGUUGAACCGAGCCAAUUAAGAAAAUAUGAUUGGAGAUUUAAUUUCCUUACAGAUAGAUAUGUGACUAAUUUAUAUUUAUGAUAAUCAAGUUAAUGAGCUAGCAACGAGCUAGCUAACGUGUCAAUCUAAUCUAAAUCUACAAGAUUUUUCCAGGUCACCGUGCUUUAUUAUUAUUUCAGUACUGGUCAUAAGAUCUUCGGCUCUGGGCUACCGUUAUUCGGAUCCCUCUUUCUUACAUGCAUGUAAGAUAGGGAUUGCCCCGUUAUUCACUUUUACAAUUAAUUAAUUAAUGUGUUUGUACGGGAUAUUUUAGGAUGCAGUCGCUGCUCAUCUGUCAUCUCGAUGAAAGAUGAGGUGAUAAUGUUGAAAAACAAUUGAACCGGACAGCCAAAUGGUGGGCAAGGUUACCCCCAGAAGAAUAACCCAACACAAAUACCCGGUCAAAGUCAACUUCACCUAACCACGUAUCCAUUACAUUUGCAUGCAUUAUGGCUUGACCUUGAAGCCAUUUUAGGGCACAACAUGCAUCUUCUAAAGCCGCAGGCAGCCUAUGCUCCGGCCCUAGGCGGUAGUCGGGCUCAAUGACAGCGGCUUGAAGGAUGCUGGCGAGGCGGACGCAGAUGUUAUGGUUGUUGGGGAACGUGCGGGAGCCGAAGCAGAAGCCUCCGCCGUGAAAGUAAAAGACAAUAGGGAGUUUUGUUGAAGAAUUAACUAUGGAUGUAGGUUUGUAGAGACGAAGACGAAGAUCAAUGUUUUCGUUGAAAAUAAGGUCUUUGUAGAGGAUUGAAUUGUCGUUGAUAAAAGGAACGUCGAAAGAAAUAUUUGGGGAUCGUGAAAUGGAGCCAUCGCUAUAGAGUUUGAGGAGGCCAAAGCAUUCUUCUACUACUUGAG
rnacentral:lncRNA from 1 species